AAAGACGCCUUUUCGUCUAGGUAGUUGAGCGGAAGGAACGUAAACCGAGGAGUUGACGAAAGGCUACGACAAUGAACAACGCAAUCAAGUUGUUGAUCUUGGCUUUUGCUGUCACCAUGCUGAUCACAGCUGGUGACGCUCUGACAUGCACGAGAUGUUUGCCCAUACGUGGAGAGUGUAUUCCACGACCUGAAACAUGUCAACCAGCCCAAGUCUGCA